UGUUCGGAAGAUUUCGGCAGGGUGGAAAUCUGCGAAAAGAAGAAUGUCGAAUGAAAAAUAAGAAGCCGAUUGUCACGUCUUGUCUUAGGAUCAAAUCACAAAAUAAAUUCAUACUGACUGAAAAAUUAAGCAACUUUAUCGUGGCAAACGGAACAUCCCAGCGAAAACCAUUUCAAACAUUAUUUUACCUGAUUUAUUGAAUGCUAUUUAAUCAAUUAAUAACGUGUUUAAAUUUAUUCAAAGAAUUCGAGUCAACGCAGGACUCAGGUUUUUUAAGCGGAUUUUUUUUCGGAUGAACUUGACACUCGAAUAGAACAGUAACAAAACCAUGUCACUGCGACAGAAAAAUAAUAACCAUUUGCAGUGAAGUCCAAUGUUGUACUAUAAUACCAAAACAAGACUUUUACAGUAACUAGGAUUGGCUAUGAGUUGAUUUUUAUUUUUUUAAUGUUAUUUAACAAAUGAUUGUGUUCCACGCAUUUCACAUUUAAUGCUAAUUUACUGAAUCAUUGUUUGUCGGAAAAUGAAAUUAAUUGUUACUUGAAAUUUUAGUGUAAAUUUAUUGCAAGAAUACUGCUUGAAUAACGUCCAACUGCCCUUCAAUUUAAAGAUAACUUGAAGUUUCUUUCUUUAUCAUAGUUCAUAUCUGAAAUCUUGUAAGUUGGACGAUAUAAAAUGGUUAAUGAACUUAACCGAAGGCAUCCGGAAAUUAAACAAAUCAGAUCAGAUCAAAAAGAGUAUAAUGAAUAGAUGGAAGAAAAAGUAGAUCUUGUGGAGUUGGAGUAUUCUGAAGAUUUCUGACGAUAGCGUAUUCGAUAACUCAGAACGUAAUCUAGUGUACCAUAUUGCAGGAUACAUUCUUAAGAAUGUCCCGAAAAACUAUACUGUUUGUGAAGCAUGCUUUACACCAUGUAUUAGUACGACCCCAUUUUAAAACAAUUUACAAAGUAUAUUAUGCUUAAAGAUUUUAGUAGGGAAGCACUAUCGUAUGUAACAGAAGUUGUUUAUUUGUUUUUUAUCGCGCAUGAGAAGAGAAUAUUUCGAGACGUCACGAGUCUCGUCACUUGUAAUGAAAACGUUUCAUCAAACCUGGCAACACUCAUAAAAUCACUUACCAUAAAUAUCUUUGAAGAAGAAUGUCAUAAUAUUCGCAAUUAGAUAAUAAAGCAUUUUGUAACGUUC